UACGGAGGAUCCGAGCGUUAUCCGGAUUUAUUGGGUUUAAAGGGUGCGUAGGCGGCCUUGUAAGUCAGGGGUGAAAGACGGUAGCUUAACUAUCGCAGUGCCUUUGAUACUGCAGGCUUGAAUGUACUUGAGGUAGGCGGAAUGUGACAAGUAGCGGUGAAAUGCAUAGAUAUGUCACAGAACACCAAUUGCGAAGGCAGCUUACUAAAGUAUGAUUGACGCUGGAGGCAACGAAAGCGUGGGGAUCAAACAGG
rnacentral:rRNA from 1 species